CUGCUACUCCCUCCGUCUCAAAAUUCUUGUCUUAGAUUUGUCUAAAUACGGAUGUAUCAAGUCACGUUUUAGUAUUAGGUACAUCCGUAUCUAGACAAUUCUAAGACAAGAAUUUUAGGACGGAGGGAGUAUUAU
rnacentral:pre_miRNA from 1 species